UGGGGAAUUUUGGACAAUGGGCGAAAGCCUGAUCCAGCAAUGCCGCGUGUGUGAAGAAGGCCUUCGGGUUGUAAAGCACUUUUGUCCGGAAAGAAAUCCUUGGCUCUAAUACAGUCGGGGGAUGACGGUACCGGAAGAAUAAGCACCGGCUAACUACGUGCCAGCAGCCGCGGUAAUACGUAGGGUGCAAGCGUUAAUCGGAAUUACUGGGCGUAAAGCGUGCGCAGGCGGUUUGCUAAGACCGAUGUGAAAUCCCCGGGCUCAACCUGGGAACUGCAUUGGUGACUGGCAGGCUAGAGUAUGGCAGAGGGGGGUAGAAUUCCACGUGUAGCAGUGAAAUGCGUAGAGAUGUGGAGGAAUACCGAUGGCGAAGGCAGCCCCCUGGGCCAAUACUGACGCUCAUGCACGAAAGCGUGGGGAGCAAAACAGGAUUAGAUACCCCUGGUAGUCCACGCCCUAAACGAUGUCAACUAGUUGUUGGGGAUUCAUUUCCUUAGUAACGUAGCUAACGCGUGAAGUUGACCGCCUGGGGAGUAC
rnacentral:rRNA from 1 species